AUUCCGUAGCUCAGCUGGUAGAGCAUUACACUUUUAAUGUAGUGGUCCUGGGUUCGAAUCCCAGCGGGAUCACACCA
rnacentral:tRNA from 2 species